rnacentral:rRNA from 1 species
GACGAACGCUGGCGGCGUGCUUAACACAUGCAAGUCGAACGGAAAGGCCCCUUUGGGGGUACUCGAGUGGCGAACGGGGGAGUAACACGUGAGUAACCUGCCCUUGACUUCGGGAUAACUUCAGGAAACUGGGGCUAAUACCGGAUAGGAAUCCUUGCUGCAUGGUGGGGGUUGGAAAGCUUCGGCGGUUUUGGAUGGACUCGCGGCUUAUCAGCUUGUUGGUGGGGUAGUGGCUUACCAAGGCUUUGACGGGUAGCCGGCCUGUGAGGGCGACCGGCCACAUUGGGACUGAGAUACGGCCCAGACUCCUACGGGAGGCAGCAGUGGGGAAUAUUGCACAAUGGGCGGAAGCCUGAUGCAGCAACGCCGCGUGCGGGAUGACGGCCUUCGGGUUGUAAACCGCUUUCAGCAGGGGCGAAGCUUGUGGUGACGGUACCUGCAGAAGAAGCACCGGCUAACUACGUG